CCUACGGGAGGCAGCAGUGGGGAAUUUUGGACAAUGGGCGCAAGCCUGAUCCAGCCAUGCCGCGUGAGUGAAGAAGGCCUUCGGGUUGUAAAGCUCUUUCAGUUGGGAAGAAAAGGAUGUCUCUAACAUAGGCAUACGAUGACGGUACCGACAGAAGAAGCACCGGCUAACUACGUGCCAGCAGCCGCGGUAAU
rnacentral:rRNA from 1 species